GUAGGUGGCGAUAAGCUUAACGCACCGUUAUGUUUGAGGAAUGUAUGGCGAACAAACAUACGCGACUCGGCGUUCCCGUCCAAUGGGAAACUAUGGUUUGCUACCCCACAUGGGGCGGGACAGUAUAGAAACUUGCGAUCUUGUUUCUUAUCUUGGAUGCGAUAACUAAAACAUAGUUGACUUAUCCCGGUGCUUUGAACGAACACGUGAAGCUCGAACACAUGUGUAUACGGAGGUGAUCUGGUUUUGGGACGGUCUUAAAAGGUACGAUGAGACGGAGACCACUUGUGCCUCGGCUUAUUAAAGCCCCCACGACCUGCAGUGACAAAGGAGGAGGCCCUGCAGGUCAGAAGCCCACGCCGGACUCGUGUAAGCCCCCGGACGGGGCUGCGGAGGAGGUGGAAGGUGAUCCUUCUCCUGAGGAGAAUGGCACUUCGGAUGACGAAUGGAACCCUGACAAAGCCAUGGCCGGUGCAUAUUUCUGGGUAUUGAUCUCGUGUUGGCGUCAGGGUUGACAAAGGAGUGUCCAAAAGAUAAGGGUAUUCUCCCUGGAUGUCCUGAAGUGAGCCUUGUCGAGAAAGAGGAUCUCCGAAAUGGAAACAGAUUUUAAAAGUUAAAAUAAGCUUCAUUAGUGACCUGUAAUUCUGCCUUUGGCUAGUAAAGUUCACCUAUAAUUUUGAAAUAUUGGGCUUCUGAGUAUGUUGACAUUUAGAGAUGCACCAAUUUGAUAUUCGGAUCGGUAUCGGUGCCGAUCCAGACCUAUUUGACGGAUCGGGUAUCGGCCGUACGUGACCGAUCCAUGUCCUAUACUUACUUAUUUAGUUUUUGGCGGUGUCUAAAAAGACAGCUCCUAUUUCUUGUUUAAUCUAUUCAUAUAAUCGAUUGCAUGACAUCUCGUUUCCAUUUUAGAUGUGCUUUUGCGGCAUUCAAAUCGAAUGCUAACGCUGCCGCUUAGUGGGUGAGCGCAGUGACUCCGCCUGCUGUGAUGUCAUGCGCAUACGCUUUGCAGUGCGGGGAGCGUAAGAACAUCCGAUAAGGAGACGAUCUGGGAGUAUUUUACGUGUUUAACAGCACAGCGAUUUGCAAUCUUUGUAAAAAACAAAGUUUUGUGGGGUGGCAGUAGCGUUUAGUCGAAAAUCCCAAUAAACAAAGCGCACGCACGACAACGCGAGUAAUAUGAAAAAAGCGAUGAAUGAUUUUGGGAGUCGCUAGCUUGGGCUGUUUUGCGCACUCGCUAGAGCUUGUGAUACACGAGGGGUAUGUGACAGAAUUGUAUGGGAAAAAUAAUUGUGGGGCAUUUUAAGCAUUCGCCACUUGCGUAUACGCUCUUGGAAGGUAUUCAAGUUGAACUGCAAAUGCCUCAAAAACGCUAUAAACAAGAUGUACAAACGAGGUGGAAAAGUACGUUAGGUAUGUUUGUAGUAGCCCAAUUUAAGUCUUUUUGGCAUACGUUUUUCACCUGUAUUUACUAGCUUAAUAAUAUUGUUUCGGCUCAUCCCUAUUGACAUUCAUACUUGUUAGAAUAAAGAAACUGAAAUAGUCAGUAUGGACUCCUAAAGUGAAUCAGCAGAAAUGAAAUAUAUCUGCUGUUUUCCCAAAACACAACAGCAUUCUGUGCAUCAAAGUGUAGAGUCUGCAGUUUUCCCCGAUACUUUAUAUUAUGGGAAUAAUUCAUCAUUAGCAUGAAAUUUCAACUUAUUAAUAGUGUUGUAGUCAAGACUGCCUAAACCGAGACCAAGACAUUGCCGAGACCGGAGGGUGUCAAGACCAAGACACUGCCAAGACCAAGACCACGAGCAAGACACACUAAGGCGAAACC